GAAUUUCUCCUACUUGAUGAUUAGCCUAUUCUCCUUCUAGCUCCACUGUGCCUUCUGGACAGCAGGGAAAGUACAAGGAUGCUGAACACGACUGUUUUGGGAAAGAAAAGAAGGAACACUCACCUGCAUGAAAUUGCCAAAGUCCAGGAAUUCCUGACUGGAAAGGGACAUUAAGAACUGACGCUGGGAAGAAACAAAGAUAUUAUACACUGGCAG